CUCCCCUCCGCGGGCGCGCGUCCGGCCGAGCCAGGCGGAACCCAGGCCUGCGGUGGCGUUUCCGGCGGGCCCCGUAAGGCUGGGGUCCCUGGAGUCGGCCGCCUACGGGCGCCCCGCACGGGCUGCGUCACGCCAUGAAGUUUCGGGCUAAGCUUGUGGAUGCGGCCUGUCUGAACAACUUCACGCGAGUCAGUAACAUGAUAGCCAAGCUUGCCAAAACCUGCACUCUGCGCAUCAGCCCGGAUAAGUUGAACUUCGUCCUCUCGGACAAGGUGGCCAAUGGAGGGGUGAGCAUGUGGUGUGAGCUGGAACAGGAGAACUUCUUCAGCGAAUUUCAAAUGGAAGGUGUCUCCGCAGAAAACAAUGCGAUUUAUUUAGAGCUAACAUCGGAAAAUUUAUCUCGAGCCUUGAAAACUGCCCAGAAUGCCCGAGCCUUGAAAAUCAAGCUGACUAAUAAACACUUUCCCUGCCUCACAGUUUCUGUAGACCUGUUAUCCGUGUCAAGCAGUAGUCGUGUUGUGACACAUGACAUCCCUGUAAAGGUUAUUCCUAGAAAACUGUGGAAAGACUUACAAGAACCGACGGUCCCAGACGCUGACGUUAGUAUUUAUUUACCAGUCUUGAAGACUAUGAAGAGCAUUGUGGAGAAGAUGAAAAACAUCAGCAAUCACCUUAUUAUUGAAGCAAACCUAAAUGGAGAAUUGAACUUGAAAAUAGAAACUGAACUAGUGUGUGUUACAACUCAUUUUAAAGAUCUUGGAAAUCCUCCACUAGCUUCUGAAAAUGCUUCUCAAGAUAGAAACUCAGAACAAAUGGCUCAAGUGCACAUAGACAUUAGGAAGCUCCUACAGUUCCUUGCUGGACAACAAGUAAAUCCUACAAAGGCCACAUGCAAUAUUGUGAAGAACAAGAUUGUUCAUUUUGACCUGCUCCAUGAAGACGUCUCCCUGCAGUAUUUCAUCCCAGCGUUGUCGUAACCCCACCUACGGUAUCGGGGAGCUCAGGGACCUUGUUCUGGACCCGAAGAGGCCGUAGGGAGGUGGGUCAAAAAGGAUCUUGCUGUGAUUUAUGUCAUAGAAUGAAGAACGUCUUAGUUUUAAGAUAAAGUAAGUUUGCAUGCAAUUUUUAAAAUGUCACAAAACCAGAUAUAAUUUCCCUCAGCUCUGCAUAGUGUUCAUUUAAGGAGACCUGAUUUGGACGGUUUUAUGGAUGGCUCAAGGUUUUCUCUGCGUGGAUGUGGCCAAAGGGGGCCUUCCUUGGAGUGGCGAAGCCGGGUCUCCUUCUGACUGUCAGCAAGACUUGCGGCUCAGUGUCUGCCUCGGCCGCUGCUCCCACAGAGCUGCUGAGCGAGGGUGGCCCUUCCUCCCAUGGGGGAGCUAGCAGACGUGGUGACCUGGGGCGACAACGGUGCUGCUGUACUGAACAGGUAUCCCAGGGCAGAAUUUCACUAGGUCAGGAAAUAGCAGUUUAGUUCGUUUAGAGGAAAGAAUAUAAUUUGAGAAAUUAACUUAUUUCAAGACUGACAUCUCCAGAUGUUGAGGUCUCUCUUUAAACUGCUCUCUGGGUUUUAGAGACAUGCUUUGGCUGGCUGUGAUUGUGGAAGGAGCUGCCGUGUGGAGGGCUGUCCUGGGUGGUCCUGCUCAGGCCCAUGUUGCUUUGGGAACCUGUCUGGGCUAAGUUUGGGGGCCAUCCUGUACUGGGUCCGGGAUGUCUAAGAAUCCAAGCGCCUCGUCCUCCUCCCUACGGGGACCACCUGCCCACCGUGAUCCCCAGGGCCUGGUGGAGGCGGCCUGGAGCGUGGCCUCAGCAUCAGUCCUGGGCUGGAAUUCUGGCUCUGCCCCAGGAGCGGGAGGUGCUUGAUGGCUUCGUGUCCUUGGCGGAUGCUGUCGGAUGAGCAGAGCAUCGUUUUGAAGAGAUGCGGUUGUGUCCCUUUACGUGGAUUCUAGUGGGGGUUCAAAAGGAAGCUUGGGCAUUUCUGUGUUUUUACAGCUCCUUCUCAGUGCAGGGGGCAAGAACCACCUGUUGUGAGGUGAUCAGGGAGAUACGUCGUCCCCUCAGACACCGCUGUGGGAGUGUGACUUGAUAGCACGUUUUUUGGAGUCCAGUUUGGCAUUUACUAUAUAUGGAAAGCCUUAAAAUGCACAUCCUUAUUCACAAGGAGAAAACUAAACUUUGGUUUGUCAUGUUGAAAUUACCACGGGUUUGAAAUACUGAGUCUGGAUCAAUACGGUAAGAUCGCAUCACAGAAUAACUUCUUUUGGUGGGCCCAUCACGCAUGAGGCUGAGUCCGUGUAUGUAACAAAGUCUUUGUAAGACAAUUCAAGUUCCAGGCCAGGGGAUGUGGGGAGGCAGUCUCCUGAUGACAUGAAAGAAGACCCCAGGGAUAGCAGGGGAAUAGGAGCCGCCCUGCUGAUAGCCGGGCCUCUCCGUUGUCGCUGUCCCCGGAGUGAGCCGUGUUCUGACCAUGCUCAGCACGGAGGGAGCCCUGUGUCCCCAGCCCGGGCCUGGGGGAGACGCCGGCCCUUCCCAGCAUCCGCGUCCUGGUCUUUUUAGAGAACAGCCUCUGGAGCAGUGACUGACGCGCUCCCCCCGGUGGCGUUUAGAGAAAGUGCAGCUCUCGGCACUUUUCCAACCUGGGGACCUGGUCAGAACACGAGAAACGGGACCGUACCUGUCGGUCUGCUGCUACCCAGCUCUGUGAGGACAGCCCUGUGUUUAAACGGCUUCAACAUUUAGGCGCUUGGAAAGCACCUAGGAGCCUUCCUUAGGGAGGGAAACCUUCCUUAGGGCGAGGAACCGCAGGUCGGGCUUUCUGGGUGGAAGAGAAGACGAGGAGCGGGCAGUGACGUCCCGACUGGGCCUGGGGCUCCCCCAGGAGCCGUGCUCUCUUCGGUUCCUUCCUCCCUGCUUGAGUAAACCCGGCAGAGGGGCGGGGGGAGGCGGGGCGCGGGGCCUCCCUCCCCCUCCCCCCGGGGAGCCGAGCCCCUUCUGUGCAGGCUUCCGCAGCAGCCCUGGCUCGGGGCUUCACCGUUUCCGGGGCAGGCGGUCCUCCCAAAUCAAGAACGUCGUGCUCAGCGUGACGUGGGGCGUUCCCGGUGCCGCAGGCCAGCCUCCUUUCACACCGGGCGCGUCUGAAGCGACCCGGAAACUGGUGGCUCAAUUUCCGCUCCGGCCACCUGCCAGGCCGUGGCCUCGUCCUGAGUCUGCGCGACAAGCGGAGUGUUUGACUUGCAUCACAUGGUUAGGUUGAUUUAAAUGCGAAGGUUUCUAGAGAUGAUUUUAUUCAUAUUUUAUGAUAUUAGUUACAUCAAAUAAUGUAUUUGGUGUGGCUUUAGAUGUGGGUUUGGUUUUUCUGAGUCCUUAAGUUGUAAAGUUAAGUGUUAAUUUGAUAUCUUUUUUGUUUUUUAAUGUAGGCAUUUAAAGCUAUACAUUUCCCUCAGCACUGCUUUUUCUGCAUCCCCUAAGUAAGUUUUGGUACGUAGUGUUUUCAUUGUCGUUCAUUUCCAAGUAUUUUCUAGUUUCUCUUUACUCCCCCCCCCCUUUUUUUUUAGAAUACAAAAGCGUUUAUUUAGCAUACCAAAGGCAAAUCCAGCAAAAAACAGUGUUGAAGCUGAGAAAAAUAAAAGGUUUAUGCAUUGAGCAUAUUGAAAGAAAAGUGAAAACAAACUCAGAAGUCUUAGAAUGAAGAAAAGCAUCUUAUGCAAACACGAUGUUCUUCCCACCCUUCCAACAUGAAAUAUUGCCAGCAAAAAAUACUAAAGACCAGAGAAAGCCAUCCAGCAAAAUGAUUCAAAAACCACAAAGCAUGAGGCUAUUCCCCCAUAAAGCUCAAUAAAUGAUUGAAUAGCUAAUAGAAGAAAUGGUGAGGGAAGGGAAGGUAAAAAUUAUAUGAUAGACUGUAAGCAUUGAAUUCUAAAGGUUUAACUAGCAGAUUCAUUAGUUAAUCCAAAACCAUCAUUCUUAACAAAUAAUGGAUCGGACACCAACCCAGUUUUGAUGUUAAAAGUCAACAGAUAUAGGUCCCUCGUGUUUAGAGCAAAGAAUAGGAAAAAAAAACCCAAAACCAACAAAUGCCAGUGAGAAACAGAGAUUCUUCUAAAUCUUCUGUAAACAAGUUUCUGCAGUAGCACACUGGUCGCUUUCUUCAGGCCUUGAUGCUCUGGUUUGGGUGUGCAGUUGUAAUGCAUGGGUAUGUGGAUAUGAGGCUCUCUAUGUAAGCUUUUCUUAUUAGCUUUGUGGUUAUAUUCUUUGUGGUUUUAAAUUUUUCCCCUUUAAGAGAAAAUCUCUCCAAGGAAAAGUUCCAAACCUGCUUUUUAAAAAAAUUGUUGGAAUUUCUUCACAUUUUAUAAACAAAAAUACCAGAAAUGAAGGCUGACAGAAAUUCAAGCAGAUCCAAAUUCAACCAUCCACUUUUCAUACUUCUCCAAAUUCUGCAGCAGAGACAGACUUCGCAAUUUUCUUAAGAGCCAAUUCAAAAUCUCCUUUGGUAACAGGCAUCUGAAAUUCCUCUUUAGAAAGUGCAGAGAUCUCUUCUGGACUUAGGCCGUUCACCAUCUCGUUGCCAUUAAAGAGGCGUCCCUGGAAACCUUAGUUAUAUCAGCACCAGAAUAGCCCUCAGUCUUCUCUGCUGUAUCUUCCAGUUAAAUAUCAGGAUCCAAUCAACCUCACGAAGAUUGAUUUUCAGAAGCUCAGUUCUUCCUUUUGCUGUUGGGAGAGGUAUAUAUAUCCUUUUUCCUAAUCUCCUUCACAAAGCUUCAUCAGUGUCCCAUGGGAACAUAGUAGCAGCCAAUACCAUAACCAUUUUGGGAGGACUGCCAUUCUCUAAAGCUCCUGCAACUCCGUCCAUCUGAAUGAGUAGCUCAGAUGUGACUGCAAGUUGCCUCGUGUUCAUCAGAGGUUCCUCUUCGACUGCAGAUAGAAUCUGUCUCAUCAGUGAAGAUCGUGGUGGGGACAUACAAUCUAGCCAUUUCAAACCAUUUCAAACAACAGACAGAUUAGCUUCUCAGGCCCCUCUAUGGAUUCAGUGUGGAGGAGGGUGCUGUUGAAGGGUGUUGUGUCAACAUUCAGUGGUGCAGCUUCAGCCAGCGUGGUCUUGCCAGUGCCUGGGGGCCCAGGCAUCAGCACACCCUUCCAUGGCCUUCUGGUCCUUUGAAAAAGUCAGGCAUCCACACAGGAAGAACAGCAGCUUCCCUUAGCAACCUCUUCACUUCUUCCAGGUCUGCUGUGUCGUCCCACAGAGUUCCUGCUAGGAUUCCUGGAGACGAUGUCUCGCCGAGGACUUCCACCAGAUCCUUAUCAUAUGCAGCACCAUCGAAUUUUGGAAUUUCACCAUCACUUGCACCGCCUUGCAUAUUUUUCCUUCCCUUGUCAUCUCUCCCUCUUGUCUACAAUCCUUGCCCCUUCUUGUAGAGGGUUUUUCACUCUUUGAUAUAGGAUGUGCUCAGCCUACAGCUCCCUGGGCUCCUCCUCCCGGCAUUUCUUUGCUCAGAGUUCUUCUCGAUUGGGACGCCUUAUCUGAGGUGGAUUUCUGUGUUCUGCAUGUACAGGGGGCGGCCAAGCAGCAGGAUCUCUAAAUGGCUCCUCUUGACAGGACACAGGGAAAUCUGGGGCCUGUCGAUUUUAAAACUUUCCAAAGUGCUGACAAUGCUUUUAACUUGUUCAUAUUCUUCCAAUAAUUCCUGUUGAACCUGCUGCCAUUGGCCUUUGACAGCUGGGUCUCCGAUUGACUGACAAUGUCUCUGAAUUUGCUGUUAUCACCCCUAGUAAUAUACCACUGAUGAGUCAUAAUUUACAAGAAGUGCAUAGUCUCUUCCUUUCUUUGCAUUGUCACAAAUCUCACCUAAAUUCAUCUUUCAGAGACCUAGGUGCCGCAGGUCAGCCGACCACUUUGCUGUGGUCCAGGUGGGGUGGGAGUCUAGUUUCUCUUGAUUUUUCCUCUGACCUGGUUGUUGUAGUGUGUUGGAUAAUUUCUGUAUAUUUGUGAAUUUUCCAUUUUUCCUUCUGCUAAUGAAUUCUAACUUCAUCUGUUGCAUUCAGAGAAGAUACUUUAUAUGAUACUUAUAUUUUAAAAUCCAUUGAGACUUAAUUCAUGGCCUAAGAUGUGGACUGUCUUGGGGAAUGUCCCAUGUCCUCUUGAAAAGUGUGAGUUCUGUUGCUGAGUAGAGUGUUCCCCUGUAUAGUUGGUCUAGUUGAUUUAUUAUAUUAAGUCCUCUAUUCCCUCACCUAUAUUCUGUCUGGUUUUCUAUCCAUUAUUGAGAGUUGGGUGUAGAAAUCUCCAACCAUUAUUGUAGAACUCUCUCUCCUUCAGGUCUGUCAUUCUUUGCUUUGUGUAUUUUGAGUGUUUGUGAUUAGGUACAUAAAUGUUUAUAAUUGUUAUAUGUUCCUGCUGUAUGAACCAUUUAUUAAUAUAAUGCUUUUAUUUUUCUCUUUUAAACCUUUUUGAUUUAAAAUCAUUUUGUCUGAUAUCAGUACCGUUACUCCUGCUCUCUUUUGCUUUUGAUUUGCAUUGAUUGUCUUUUUCCAUUGUUUAAUUUUCAGCCAAUUUUGUGUCUUUUGAUCUGAAGUGAGUCUCUUGUAGACAGCAUAUAGUUAAAUCAUGUUUUUAAAUCUAUUAGUUAAAGUUCAUUUACAGUAAUCACUGAUAUGGAGGGAUUUCUGUCAUUUUGCUGUUUGUUUUCUAUAUGCCUUUUAGCUUUUUUGUCUCACAUUUCCUGAAUUACUAUCUUCUUUUGUGUUUAGUUGCUUUUUCCUUUUACUUUUCUUUCUUUCUUUUUUUAUUUUUGUGGUUACCACUAUGAGGAUACAUUUAACAUCCAGAUUAACCAUUUUCAUUGCUGCAUAGUAUUCACAUAGGUAAACACUAUACUCGUGAUUGUCAUCAUUCAGAUAUUUUUAGUUAAUGAAAUUUACUUUUCUCUCUCUUUCUUUUUUCUUUUGUCCUACCCAGUUGCGUGGAGGUUUCCUUGCCCUUUCUGAAGCCUGAGGCCUUCUGCCAGGUCUCAGUAGAUGUUCUGUGAGAGUCGUUCCACGUGUGGAUGUAGUUUUGAUGUAUUUAUGGGAGGUGGUGAGCUCCACGUCCUACUCCUCGGCCACCUUGAUCAUUCUCCAGUAAAAUUUUUUUUUGGCUGUGCUGGGUCUUCGUUGCAGCACAUGGGGGCUUCUCUCUUGUUGUGGCGCGCAGGCUCUAGAGCGUGCAGGCUCAGUAGUUGCAGCAUGCUGGCUUCUCUAGUUGUGGUGCUCGGGCUUAGUUGCCCCAUGGCCUCUGGGAUCUUAGCUCCCCGACCAAGGAUCGAACCAGAGUCCCCUGCAUUGGAAGGUGGAUUCUCGACCACUGGACCACAAGGGAAGUCCCAUAAAAUUUACUUUUUUAGAGCAGUUUUAGAUUUACUUAGAAAUUGAAUGGAAAGCACAGAGGGUUCCCAUGUAUUCCCUUCCCCACUCCAGCUUCUGUGCUAUUGAUAUCUUGUAUUAGUGUGGUACAUUUGUUACAGUCAGUAAACUAAUACAGAAACAUCAUUAUUUAAAAUCUGCAGUUUACAUAUUAGGGUUCACUCUUUGUGUUGUACAUUAUAUGGGUUUUGACAAAUGUAUGGUGGCAUGAUAUGUGUCUGCCACUACAGCGUCAGGCAGAGUAGUCUCACUGUCUGCAAAUACCUUUCCUGUGCACCACCUGCUCAUCCCUUCCUUCCCCUGGACCUCUGGUCACCACUGAUCUUUUUACUGUCUCCAUAGCUUUCCCUUUUCCACAAUGUCAUAUAGUUAGGAUCUUAUGCAGCCAUUUCAGAUGGGCUUUUCUGACUUACUAAUACGCAUUUAAGGUUCCUCCGUGUUUUUUCAUGACUUGACAGCUCAUUUACUUUUAUCAGUAAAUAAUAUUAUAAAUAAUAAUAUUUGUCUCUGGUUCACUUAUCAUCAGGGAGCAAAAAAUUACUAAUGCAUCACUCCAGCAAUAUCCUUACCAGUAAUAUUCAAACCGAAAAUAAAAUUGCUUCACGUG